GAGAGAGAACACAAGGCACACCGUACUUUCAGGUGGGCCCAGACCCAUUUCUCUACCUUUUGGUGGACUGAGGUUUGAAGAUUUCCAAAAUAAAAAGUUGGAAGGAACUUGUAUAAAUGCAUGGAAAAGCUAUUCCUCUGAACAACAGGCUUCAAGCGUGGUGCUGACUGUCUCACAGUGAGAACCCCAUCGAGCAGUUGCCAUGAGAGCUUAGCUGAGUUGAGCAGCCUGGGGAGUAAGUUCAUAAACUGAGGAAUUCAUUUAUCUUCCACAGUAACACCCCCUCCAAAACCAACUACAAACUACUUAACCCAUCAAAACUGAGAGCUGCCAAAGCCACUUUCCUCCUGGGACUGUAAAUGCCUUCACAGUCAAAGUCACAAAGCUUUUCAAGCUGGUGCACUGGUGAUUGGUUUAAACUGCUAAAACUCUGAUUAUCUUUAGAUUCCAAUUUCUCAUUUAAAAUCACUAGUCAUUCUAGAUACAUGAUGAUUAAAAAAAUUGAAACUGAAGAUAAAAAAUAAAUGAGGAGUCACAUUACCAUCUUGUUCAUGUCUCAGGAGCUUCAGACUUACGGCAGUAACAUUGCCAUCUACCUUCUAUUUCCACAGGCUCUCAGAGUGGAUAUUAAGUUUUAUAAUCAAAACAAAUGUUUUACUUGAACAGGAAUCCAGGGGUUUAACAAACUCUAGAAAUGCUAAUGUGAAUGACCUGCUACAUUAACGUAGGUAAGAAUUCCUCUGCCUUUAUUGCCAUUCUGAAGCAUGCUAAACAACAUGAAGAAGGUUGGAAUAAUGCAUUUUUUACUUCUCUCGCCAUGUGUUUGGAGUCUUAAAUCACUGGUGAUUGGUUUUCAUUCAUUCAUUUGUUGACAUCUUUAUUCAGUCAGUCAUAAACAUUUACUGUUAGCUAAGAUACAGGUGCAAAAGUAUUGAUUACAAAGUGUUUAAUAAUAUCAAAAUCUAGAAAGAAACUAAAUAUUACUCUAUACAGAGUGAAUGAAGUAAAUCACAGUCCAUCCUAGCCUGUAGCAGCUAAAAGAUAUGAGGUAAAAUUAUAUGUCUUUUCAUGGAGAAAUGUGAUUGUUAUAUGACUGGGGGCCCAGGAAGGAACAGAUUUUAGAAUGACAUUUCUAGUGUGAUUUUUAAAUUAAAUUGUGUAUGUGUGGAUAUGUAUAUUCCUAUAAGAGUCUAGAAAAUAUAUGCUACCUUGUUAACGGUGAUCAUCUCUGGGGUAUUACUGAGUGAAAUGGUUUUGUAUCAUUUGAUUUUCUUACAACAGAUAAUCUAUCUCUUUACUACAGAGUUGCAUUUACUUGUUAUGUGAGCCCAUGAAAGAAUUAUACCAGGACCCCUUGUGGUUGGGUGGCACCAUGUGAUUGGUUCUGUCUAAAGAGUUAUGAGCAAAAAUGGCAUGUGUCACUUCCAGGCUGGAAUGUUUAAUUGCUGGUGCAGGAUCCUCCUGAGCUCUUUUCUUUUGACACAAACCCUUGAGAUGGUGGCUCAAGUUUGAGAUAGCGGCUGCUCCAUCAGCCUAGAUUCGGAAAUGAGAUGUGGAUCGGAGCUCUCAGCCAAUCCCCAGUGGACACUUAAUUAGAG
rnacentral:lncRNA from 10 species